AUUGAACGCUGGCGGCAUGCCUUACACAUGCAAGUCGAACGGCGGCACGGGUGCUUGCCCCUGGUGGCGAGUGGCGAACGGGUGAGUAAUACAUCGGAACAUGUCCUGUAGUGGGGGAUAGCCCGGCGAAAGCCGGAUUAAUACCGCAUACGAUCUACGGAUGAAAGCGGGGGACCUUCGGGCCUCGCGCUAUAGGGUUGGCCGAUGGCUGAUUAGCUAGUUGGUGGGGUAAAGGCCUACCAAGGCGACGAUCAGUAGCUGGUCUGAGAGGACGACCAGCCACACUGGGACUGAGACACGGCCCAGACUCCUACGGGAGGCAGCAGUGGGGAAUUUUGGACAAUGGGCGAAAGCCUGAUCCAGCAAUGCCGCGUGUGUGAAGAAGGCCUUCGGGUUGUAAAGCACUUUUGUCCGGAAAGAAAUCCUUGGCCCUAAUACGGUCGGGGGAUGACGGUACCGGAAGAAUAAGCACCGGCUAACUACGUG
rnacentral:rRNA from 1 species